CAAAAAUAAAACACAAGUACAUUGUUCAUACUGUUACACUUGUAUCUGGGAUUAGUUAUUUUGUAACUAUUCAGAUUACGUAAAUUAUAUUUUACAUGUGCAGUUGAAUUAGUUUUAAAAAUAAUAAUAUACAGCUACAUGUAUACAUGUGUCAAUACAAACAAUGGCAAUCCUAUCCCUCAGAGCAAUCUGCUCUUUGAUUGACUUUUUUUAAUUUAUCAAGAUUUAAACUAAAUAUCCACUGGAUUUCUCGAGUAGUUAUGAAACACAAACUUAGAUGUUGAACAAAGUACCAAUUUUCUAUCAACCAACUUUCUAUCAUUUAAUAUCCAC
rnacentral:lncRNA from 1 species